rnacentral:rRNA from 1 species
ACGCUCGACACCUACGGGGGCAGCAGUAGGGAAUCUUCCACAAUGGACGCAAGUCUGAUGGAGCAACGCCGCGUGAGUGAAGAAGGUCUUCGGAUCGUAAAACUCUGUUGUUAGAGAAGAACACGAGUGAGAGUAACUGUUCAUUCGAUGACGGUAUCUAACCAGCAAGUCACGGCUAACUACGUGCCGGCAGCCGCGGUAAUCUGAGCGGGCUGGCAAGGC